GACGAACGCUGGCGGCGUGCUUAACACAUGCCAGUCGAACGGAAAGGCCCUGCUUUUGUGGGGUGCUCGCGUGGCGAACGGGUGAGUAACACGUGAGUAACCUGCCCUUGACUUUGUGAUAACUUCAGGAAACUGGGGCUAAUACCGGAUAGGAGCUCCUGCUGCAUGGUGGGGGUUGGAAAGUUUCGGCGGUUGGGGAUGGACUCGCGGCUUAUCAGCUUGUUGGUGGGGUAGUGGCUUACCAAGGCUUUGACGGGUAGCCGGCCUGAGAGGGUGACCGGCCACAUUGGGACUGAGAUACGGCCCAGACUCCUACGGGAGGCAGCAGUGGGGAAUAUUGCACAAUGGGCGGAAGCCUGAUGCAGCAACGCCGCGUGCGGGAUGACGGCCUUCGGGUUGUAAACCGCUUUCGCCUGUGACGAAGCGUGAGUGACGGUAAUGGGUAAAGAAGCACCGGCUAACUACGUG
rnacentral:rRNA from 1 species